rnacentral:rRNA from 1 species
CACGUAGGGCGCAAGCGUUGUCCGGAAUUAUUGGGCGUAAAGAGCUCGUAGGCGGUCUGUUGCGUCCGCUGUGAAAACUCGGGGCUUAACCCCGAGCCUGCAGUGGAUACGGGCAGACUAGAGGUAGGUAGGGGAGAAUGGAAUUCCCGGUGUAGCGGUGAAAUGCGCAGAUAUCGGGAGGAACACCGGUGGCGAAGGCGGUUCUCUGGACAGUUCCUGACGCUGAGGCACGAAGGUCAGGGAGCAAACGGG